rnacentral:rRNA from 1 species
UAGGGAAUCUUCGGCAAUGGGGGGAACCCUGACCGAGCAACGCCGCGUGAGUGAAGAAGGUUUUCGGAUCGUAAAGCUCUGUUGUUAAGGAAGAACGAGUGUGAGAAUGGAAAGUUCAUACUGUGACGGUGCUUAACCAGAAAGGGACGGCUAACUACGUGCCAGCAGCCGCGGUAAUACGUAGGUCCCGAGCGUUGUCCGGAUUUAUUGGGCGUAAAGCGAGCGCAGGCGGUUAGAUAAGUCUGAAGUUAAAGGCAGUGGCUCAACCAUUGUAGGCUUUGGAAACUGUUUAACUUGAGUGCAGAAGGGGAGAGUGGAAUUCCAUGUGUAGCGGUGAAAUGCGUAGAUAUAUGGAGGAACACCGGUGGCGAAAGCGGCUCUCUGGUCUGUAACUGACGCUGAGGCUCGAAAGCGUGGGGAGCGAACAGG